GUGAGCUGCAGCAAGACGAAUAGUACCUGCUGCCAUUGUCUGUCAGCUCACCUCUUGAUUCAUCAACACUACUGGCAUGACUCGUACCUCCAACAUCACUGGGCCAAGCACUGAUCCCGAAAUUGCCAAAUUGCAGAUUAAUAGGUUCACGGCAUGACUCGUACCACCAACAUCACUGGGCCAAGCACUGAUCCCGAAAUGGCCAAAUUGCAGAUUAAUAGGUUCAGCCUUGCCAAUCUGCAGUGGUCCAUACAUAGGGGUCCCUAUUCCAUUCGCAAUGGAAUGGUCCAUAUUAGGCUUACCAUCAUUGCCCAAUGUGUAAACUGGCCAAGCUUUUGCUACUGAUCCAUCAUUAUUCAGAAGAGCCA
rnacentral:lncRNA from 1 species